rnacentral:rRNA from 1 species
UACAGAGGGGGCAAGCGUUGUUCGGAAUUACUGGGCGUAAAGGGCGCGUAGGCGGCCCGCUAAGUCGAACGUGAAAUCCCCGGGCUCAACCCGGGAACUGCGUCCGAUACUGGCGGGCUUGAAUCCGGGAGAGGGAUGCGGAAUUCCAGGUGUAGCGGUGAAAUGCGUAGAUAUCAGGAGGAACACCUGCGGUGUAGACGGCUUACUGGACCAUAACUGACGCUGAGGCACGAAAGCGUGGGUAGCAAACAGG